UUACUCUAAGGCAUAUCUGCGUAGUAUUAAACGACCAGUCGAGACCAUUAUCCAUAUAGAACAGUUGAACACAAUCCUUUUCAUAUGCGUAGUCGUCUGAAUUAAACGAUUAUUCGUAUUUAGGGACAGGUUAAACGUGAUGUCGUAAUUUGUUCGCUUAUUGGGGGAAAAACACCGGACAGGUUUUGGGCUUGGAGUGGAAUCGAAGAUGCAAAACGAUGCUGAUACAUAUUGGUUGCAACAACAACUUCAGAGAAGGAGAAUGAUAGAUAGUGUAACACCAGGGCGCAUGUUGCCUUUCAUAAGCAAUUGUAGCAUUGAUCCACAGCUCAGUUUAAGCUAUUUGGGGUAAAUAUUUGUAAGCUCCCAUAUUGUUGAAGUCUUGAGACUUGUUUAUAUAUUUCUAUGUUUUCUUUGAUAUGACUAAAUCUUUUGAGAAUUAACAACUCUUUUGCAAAUAGAAUCAGCAACUCUCUUUUUCAAAUAAAAGAUACUUCAUCUGCCUGACGGAAAAUUAUUAUUGUUACCAUUUAUGUUCCAAUGUGAUUCUUUAAUAUCAGUAUCUAUGUCUUCUCCACACAUAAUAUUAGUGCUUAAACACUUCAAUUAGUUGUUGUAGCUUGUUUUCAAUGCUGCGUCUCUGGGGAAAACGAAGCAGGUUGUCUAUGUUGCAUCCAUGUUUCAAUACUGGCCAUCCCAUGCGAUGAAUUGCGGAUAACAGUCAUGGCAAAUUUCUGGUUCUGACUAAGAACUACAGUAAUCUGGGUAUUUGUAUGCUUUAGUGAGAUUGAUCAUUUUGGUCUUUUGAUAAAUCGGAGCGAGUGCAUUGCAUGUAUUUAGAAUCCUGUUUGUUAAAACUGCUAGUUUAGUCUUGAAUUUUAUCAUUUCAAGUGAUGGUCAAAUGCCUAUUUUUCUCUCAUUUGACUAAUUCGUUUAAAAUUCAUAUAGAUGUAUUUGUACAGUAUAACAUUAUAAAAAAAAUUUAUGUGGGGAUUUUGCACUUCAAA